AACGAACGCUGGCGGCAUGCCUAACACAUGCAAGUCGAACGAAGCCUUCGGGCUUAGUGGCGCACGGGUGCGUAACACGUGGGAAUCUGCCCUUCGGUUCGGAAUAACAGUUAGAAAUGACUGCCAAUACCGGAUGAUGACGUAAGUCCAAAGAUUUAUCGCCGAAGGAUGAGCCCGCGUAGGAUUAGGUAGUUGGUAGGGUAAUGGCCUACCAAGCCGACGAUCCUUAGCUGGUCUGAGAGGAUGAUCAGCCACACUGGGACUGAGACACGGCCCAGACUCCUACGGGAGGCAGCAGUGGGGAAUAUUGGACAAUGGGCGAAAGCCUGAUCCAGCAAUGCCGCGUGAGUGAUGAAGGCC
rnacentral:rRNA from 1 species